UUGAACGCUGGCGGCAUGCCUUACACAUGCAAGUCGAACGGUAACGCGGGGCAACCUGGCGACGAGUGGCGAACGGGUGAGUAAUGCAUCGGAACGUGCCCAGAAGUGGGGGAUAGCCCGGCGAAAGCCGGAUUAAUACCGCAUGAGACCUGAGGGUGGAAGCGGGGGAUCGCAAGACCUCGCGCUUUUGGAGCGGCCGAUGUCAGAUUAGCUAGUUGGUGGGGUAAAGGCCUACCAAGGCGACGAUCUGUAGCUGGUCUGAGAGGACGACCAGCCACACUGGGACUGAGACACGGCCCAGACUCCUACGGGAGGCAGCAGUGGGGAAUUUUGGACAAUGGGCGCAAGCCUGAUCCAGCCAUGCCGCGUGCGGGAAGAAGGCCUUCGGGUUGUAAACCGCUUUUGUCAGGGAAGAAACGCUCUGGGCUAAUACCCUGGGGUAAUGACGGUACCUGAAGAAUAAGCACCGGCUAACUACGUG
rnacentral:rRNA from 1 species